rnacentral:lncRNA from 1 species
CAAAUAAUUUUGUAAAAGUGAAGUGGUCCAACUUCAAGUCUUUGUUACUGACCUCAUGAAUAUGCUUUUCAGGCAUCUGAGGCUGCUUCUUGGAAAAGAUGAUAUUGGACAAAUCCAUGAUUAGAGCCUUUGUAAUGUUAACCAUCCCUACUGCGCUGGAAUUGAUUACACACAUUUGGUGAAAGGCAAUUUGAAUGAGCAGAAUUUCUCCAGUGAUCCUAGUUUUAUUCCAUACAUCGAACAGCCAACCCACAAAAUGAGAGGGAGAAUUUUACAUAACGUACUUCCUAUGUGAUGCCCAGAUUUCCUCAACUGUUUCUCCAGCCAUUUUCAAAGGGACAGGAGGAGGAUGCAGUAGGGAAACCUGUGUUGAUGCAGCUCUGCACCAGCACACUGAUGUAGAGCUUCAGCUGGAUUCAAAAUAUACUGUGUUCGGUGGUUAAGCCCUUUUUCUUUGCAUCUUCCUAUCCAAAGAAGUAUUUACAUGAAAUGUCAGUCACCCCGUGGAAUUAUAUGAGAAUUAAUUAUCUGUGGAGAAUGAUUUGGCCCUAUUAAUUAUGGGUCUCAUGUAAGAAAAAGAAUAGGCCUAAUGUGUCAUAUGACUUUUUUCAGACAGUGAACUAGGAACUCAUAGGCAUCAAAUAUCAAUAAUGGUUUUGUUGAAUACAGAUUGAUGACCUCUGACAGAAAUUAUAGGAGAAACUUGUAUCAUUUUGUCUUAUUAUAGCCUACUAAGACCUUAGUCAAGAUUGGGGUCUUAUUUUCUUAGGCUGUCAUGCAAGGGGUUAAAGCCGAUAUUUAUCAGAUUAUUAUUUGCAACCAGUCAUGAAUGAAUAAGGCUUUAAUAUACGUAGAGUCAGAAAUAGCUGAUGUUAAAAUGCAAUUGCAAAUCAAAUACAGUAUUUCGUGGAGACAGUUAAAACAUUAUGUCUAAUUAAGUCUUCAUUUAAACAUGUGUGUAAUUUUGUUGUUCAGAAUUAUGUACAGCUUUGUAGACUGUUCCCUGCAGUGAAUCAUGGUGCCUGCUUGUAUCUUGCCAUUUGGUAAAGGAAAUCUUGAAUUUUAUGUUUUGCAGAUAUAGUCAAAUAUAAACAAAGUUCUAAGUUUUCUGAAUUAUUCAAAAUCUGUGUAUCUCACUGAGAAAAACUGAGUGUUUAUCAUUUUGUACUUUUAAAAUGUGG